GCAGUCGUGGUAUAAUGGAUAGAAUUCAAGACUCCGACUCUUGCGAUGCGGGUUCGAUUCCCGCCGGCUGCA
rnacentral:tRNA from 1 species